UACGUAGGGGGCAAGCGUUGUCCGGAUUCAUUGGGCGUAAAGAGCGUGUAGGCGGCCAGGUAGGUCGGUUGUGAAAACUGGAGGCUCAACCUUCAGAGGUCGACCGAAACCAUCUGGCUAGAGUCCGGGAGAGGAGAGUGGAAAUUCCUGGUGUAGCGGUGAAUGCGCAGAUAUCAGGAAGAACACCCGUGGCGAAAGCGGCUCUCUGGAACGGUACUGACGCUGAGACGCGAAAGCGUGGGGGAGCGAACAGG
rnacentral:rRNA from 1 species